UGGAAAAAAACAAACAAAAACAAAGUCAUCAUUGCUAAACGUCAAAGCCUGGUUCUAGAUUUUCUUCUUCUCAGGUCAGGAAGGCGGAGCAACCAAUGGCUCAUUACCAUUUAAAGGUAAAGGCAACAGAAUCUGACCUUACUAUGUCCUUUUUCAGAACAACUACCCCUGACAAGAUCCAGGUGAUUGGAAUGUAGAUACAUUGGUAUCUGUGGUUCAUACCUUCAGACCUUUCGUCAGAAAGAGAAAUAAAAAUCGCAACAACCGCCAAGACCUUGAAGUUUGGCUACUCAUCCUGUCGGCCAUCGCGGCGGAUCACACCGCACCGUACCAACCCCUCUGAACCUUCCUGCGGCUGGUGAGCCAACUGGAAGAUACCAACCGCCCUAACUGGGAUUCGAUCUUUCCCGGGAGGUGGAUCCUGUUCUACACCAAUGACAGGACCCUGUGAUGGAGCCAUGGACUGUCGGGCGGACACCACCCUCACCUCUCAGUACCUGGUUUUGGCUGCAGUGCCCCCUAAUGACCUUAGUAGAUAAAUGACAUCAUACGGUCAUGUUUUGAGGGGGGGG